GACGAACGCUGGCGGCGUGCUUAACACAUGCAAGUCGAACGGAAAGGCCUGCUUUCCCUUGUGGAUUGCGGGUACUCGAGUGGCGAACGGGUGAGUAACACGUGAGUGAUCUGCCCCCAACUUGGGUAUAAGCCUGGGAAACUGGGUCUAAUUCCCGAUAGGACUGCAGGGUGGUGCCUGUGGUGGAAAACGAUUUUCUAGUGGUUGGGGAUGAGCUCGCGGCCUAUCAGCUUGUUGGUGGGGUAAUGGCCUACCAAGGCGGCGACGGGUAGCCGGCCUGAGAGGGUGGACCGGCACAUUGGGACUGAGAUACGGCCCAGACUCCUACGGGAGGCAGCAGUGGGGAAUAUUGCACAAUGGGCGGAAGCCUGAUGCAGCGACGCCGCGUGGGGGAUGACGGCCUUCGGGUUGUAAACUCCUUUCGACCGCGAGGAAGCCACCUGGUUGGAAGGGUGGUGACGGUAGUGGUAGAAGAAGCACCGGCUAACUACGUG
rnacentral:rRNA from 1 species